UAGGGAAUCUUCGGCAAUGGACGGAAGUCUGACCGAGCAACGCCGCGUGAGUGAAGAAGGUUUUCGGAUCGUAAAGCUCUGUUGUAAGAGAAGAACGAGUGUGAGAGUGGAAAGUUCACACUGUGACGGUAUCUUACCAGAAAGGGACGGCUAACUACGUGCCAGCAGCCGCGGUAAUACGUAGGUCCCGAGCGUUGUCCGGAUUUAUUGGGCGUAAAGCGAGCGCAGGCGGUUAGAUAAGUCUGAAGUUAAAGGCUGUGGCUUAACCAUAGUAGGCUUUGGAAACUGUUUAACUUGAGUGCAAGAGGGGAGAGUGGAAUUCCAUGUGUAGCGGUGAAAUGCGUAGAUAUAUGGAGGAACACCGGUGGCGAAAGCGGCUCUCUGGCUUGUAACUGACGCUGAGGCUCGAAAGCGUGGGGAGCAAACAGGAUUAGAUACCCUGGUAGUCCACGCUGUAAACGAUGAGUGCUAGGUGUUAGACCCUUUCCGGGGUUUAGUGCCGUAGCUAACGCAUUAAGCACUCCGCCCGGGGAGUACGACCGCAAGGUUG
rnacentral:rRNA from 1 species